AGCGAACGCUGGCGGCAGGCCUAAAACAUGCAAGUCGAGCGCCGUAGCAAUACGGAGCGGCAGACGGGUGAGUAACACGUGGGAACGUGCCUUUUGGUUCGGAACAACACAGGGAAACUUGUGCUAAUACCGGAUAAGCCCUUACGGGGAAAGAUUUAUCGCCAAAAGAUCGGCCCGCGUCUGAUUAGCUAGUUGGUGGGGUAACGGCCCACCAAGGCGACGAUCAGUAGCUGGUCUGAGAGGAUGAUCAGCCACACUGGGACUGAGACACGGCCCAGACUCCUACGGGAGGCAGCAGUUAGGAAUCUUGGACAAUGGGCGCAAGCCUGAUCCAGCCAUGCCGCGUGAGUGAUGAAGGCCCUAGGGUUGUAAAGCUCUUUCAGCGGGGAAGAUAAUGACGGUACCCGC
rnacentral:rRNA from 1 species